rnacentral:rRNA from 1 species
CUUGCAAACUGGAGAUGGCGACCGGCGCACGGGUGAGUAACACGUAUCCAACCUGCCGAUAACUCGGGGAUAGCCUUUCGAAAGAAAGAUUAAUACCCGAUGGUAUAAUCAGACCGCAUGGUCUUGUUAUUAAAGAAUUUCGGUUAUCGAUGGGGAUGCGUUCCAUUAGGCAGUUGGUGUGGUAACGGCUCACCAAACCUUCGAUGGAUAGGGGUUCUGAGAGGAAGGUCCCCCACAUUGGAACUGAGACACGGUCCAAACUCCUACGGGAGGCAGCAGUGAGGAAUAUUGGUCAAUGGGCGCAGGCCUGAACCAGCCAAGUAGCGUGAAGGAUGACUGCCCUAUGGGUUGUAAACUUCUUUUAUAUGGGAAUAAAGUUUUCCACGUGUGGAAUUUUGUAUGUACCAUAUGAAUAAGGAUCGGCUAACUCCGUGCCAGCAGCCGCGGUAAUACGGAGGAUCCGAGCGUUAUCCGGAUUUAUUGGGUUUAAAGGGAGCGUAGGUGGACAGUUAAGUCAGUUGUGAAAGUUUGCGGCUCAACCGUAAAAUUGCAGUUGAUACUGGCUGUCUUGAGUACAGUAGAGGUGGGCGGAAUUCGUGGUGUAGCGGUGAAAUGCUUAGAUAUCACGAAGAACUCCGAUUGCGA